rnacentral:rRNA from 1 species
GUGGGGAAUAUUGGACAAUGGGCGAAAGCCUGAUCCAGCCAUGCCGCGUGAGUGAUGAAGGCCCUAGGGUUGUAAAGCUCUUUCACCGGUGAAGAUAAUGACGGUAACCGGAGAAGAAGCCCCGGCUAACUUCGUGCCAGCAGCCGCGGUAAUACGAAGGGGGCUAGCGUUGUUCGGAAUUACUGGGCGUAAAGCGCACGUAGGCGGACUAUUAAGUCAGGGGUGAAAUCCCGGGGCUCAACCCCGGAACUGCCUUUGAUACUGGUAGUCUCGAGUCCGGAAGAGGUGAGUGGAAUUCCGAGUGUAGAGGUGAAAUUCGUAGAUAUUCGGAGGAACACCAGUGGCGAAGGCGGCUCACUGGUCCGGUACUGACGCUGAGGUGCGAAAGCGUGGGGAGCAAACAGGAUUAGAAACCCUGGUAGUCC